CGCUCAUUGGUUUCGCUUUAAUCUCUACCUACCACCAACCUCCCCCCUUCCUUCGAAACCCUCAUCCAUCGACAUCAAAACCCUCUUCUCCUCCUCAUCCUUUAUCGUCGCACAUCGAUCGAUGUCGCCUCCUCCUCCCCUUCUCCGCAAAGAAGCGGCUCCCGAUUGGGCCGCGCUACCUCCCGAGCUCCUUGCCCUCGUCGCCGAACGCCUCCGUCACAGCGUCGACUAUGUUCGAUUCCGUUCCGUCUGUUCCCGCUGGCGCGCCGCCGCUCGACGCAUCCCCUUUCCGCCUCUCCUCGCCUUACCCUUCGACCCUGACGCCGCUGCCCUCCCCUUCUUCGAUCCCUCCGAGAUCGCCUCAUCCGCCGCGGUCCACUCGCUCCCCCUCCCCGAGGCCCGCCAUCAGGCCCUCCUCGGCUCCUCCCGCGGCUGGCUUUUCUUGAUCGACGAGGCUGGCUCCGUCUCCCUCCUAAAUCCCUUCACCCGCGCCAGGUUCUGCCUCCCGCCGGUCACCGAGAGUCUCGCCCGCGCCUCCAGCUUGAGCGUCUCCAAAGUCCGCGACCGCUGGGUGCUCGACCACAGAAACGGCAAGCACCCCGUCACGCUGUACCACAUGCGGAGCACUUUCAUUUCGGAGGCGACCCUCUCCUCCUCUCCGAGCGAGGGAGACGAAUGCGCCGUCAUCAUCGUGGCUGUUCUCGCUUCGUCCACUAAACUUGCUUUCUGCCGCAUCGGAGACCGUGAGUGGACUCUCUUCAAUACCGCCCUGCAUAACUUUGUCAGCUCCGUUGCAUACUGUGACGGUCGGUUCUAUGCCGUGGACGCAUUUGGAGAAGUUUGCGUCUGCGAUGUCGGUAUUUCCACACGCGCAACUUAUAUUUCGUCGCUGAUGGUGCCUCCUGAGCGUGACAGCUUCAGAAUUAUGGGGUUGAAGAAGGAACUGCUGCUGGUUGCUCAUUACAUGGACGGGGAUUUCCCACAUUUCAAGCAUCAUUACGAGAUUUAUAGGACUGAUAUUAAACGAAGGAUGAAGUGGUACCGUGUGGAUACCAUCGGUGGUAGGACAGUGUUCUUGUCCGUCCAUUUCAACUCAAAUGCCAUUGGAGGUGCAUUCUAUGGAUGCAAAAGCAACGCCAUGUAUUUCUCCGAGCCUAUUCGUGGUGGCCGUGAACCUUCCAGGUCUCAGAUUCACAAGAUGGCAGUAAUGGAUGUAACGAAUGGGUGUUUGGAGGUGAUAUCAUGUAAUUGUAACGUGCAAUUCUCAAGAGAGGUUUUCUGGUUUACUCCUUGUCUCUACUGACAAGGUUUCUUGGAUCAAGUCAAGGUAUGCUGGUGUUGAUGGAUGAGAGUGCCAGAGAUUCAUUCAUGAAUCCUUUCACCCAAGAACAACUUGAGCUGCUGCCAACAGAUGAGCAGUUAGCCUUGGCCUCAGGGAGGUAUGUGAUGAUGGUCUAAGAACACUGGAUUGUUCAUUCUAACCAUCCAUCACUGAUAAGCCAUGUCCAUCAAGCCUUCUGAGAUGUCUCACAUCUUCAUCAAGGAGGCCAUCCUUUCCCCAUCCCCAAAUUCAGGCUUUUUCAAUGGAAGAAGGAGCUUCUGAUGGUUGUUCUAAUGGUUCAAAUUGAGUAGGAACUUGAGAAUGGCCAUCACAGGUAUCACUACGAGAUCUACAAGUUGGGUAUGAUGGAUGAACUGACACGGUCCAGAAUGAAUAGUGUUUGUUGGUGAGGAGAUGUUGUUUGUGUCUCGGUAUUACAACUGUCAGUAUGUUGGAAAUGGGCUUCAUGGGUGCAGAGGAAACUGCACAUACUUUCCUUAGCCCUGGGAUUCUGCAUCUGGAGGUUGUUGAUUUGGUUGAUGGUAGCAAGCAAUUCAUAUCAACUCAUUGCACUGAAAAAAUGUUCCCAAUUUGUCUUGUGGUUCAAGCCUAGCCUACUAUAGCAAGGUAUUGACAUAUGCUCCCUAUGCUUGAUGUGCAUAUUUUAGUUUAUUGUUCCUAUUCAGUUUCUAAUUUCUUUCACAGUUUCACUGUACUGAUUCUUUUCCAUUUCAUCUGAAGUCAUCAUAGUUACAAUAAUCUUCUUUAUUAUUAACACCCAUCAUAGUCUCUAAUUUAAACUAAAGUUCUAUGCAAUUUCUAAGACAGCAGAAGAUACAUGCCUCAUGAUAAGAGUUAUAUACAUAGUAGUGGUAUGAUUAACAUAGUUCACUUUCAACUGUUAGCUUUCACCAAGUUUGGUUUCAGCACUUCUAUGUUAGUUGAUUUCAGCUAGAAGGGAAGCAGCUCAGUCACUUAGACUAGACUUAGCAUAGCAAUAAAACAGUUCUUUAAAGGACAUCUUGAAUUCUUGAUCAUAUUAUUUUUUGCCAAAGCCAAAAGCCUCAUUUGCCUAGGAAUUAUUUGGGUGUAAAGUUGCAAAUAUUGGUGGUCAAUUGAUCAUGAUUGCCAAUAAUAAGUGAUGUUGAGGAAGUGCGACUUGUUAUGUGAUAGAUAGUAUUUAGGUAAUCAGGCAUGACAAGAAGCCAGGUACCAGUGUAGAAAGAGAGAUUAAUAAGGAAACAACUGAAGUGGGAAGGUAAUUACAAACUUAGUUCAUGGAGGAAAAGCUGAAAAAGUUCAUAUAUAAGCUGCUUAAUAAGGUAUAUCAUGCCACUAUAAAGAACAGUGAGUUCUUUGUAUGUCCUAAGGGAAUCUACAUUAAUUUUUUUAGAUAAAAAAUCCAAAUUAGUGUUAGUUUCAGAGACAGAGCUAAGAUACUCAUUUUUCUUUGCCUCAAAGUUUUUGUCUAUCAGUGAUUUAAAAAGCGCUAGGCGCCAAGGUCUAAAAACGCCUGAGGCGUUAGGUGCUCGCCCGAGCAAAGCGAAACGCUAAAAUAUAAAAAUAUAUAAUAUAAUUAAUAAAUAUAAUUAUUUAAAAUUUUAAAUAAAAAUAUGCUAUUAAAUUAAGAAAAUCUAAGAUACAAAAUCACAAUGUCACAUUAACAAAAAGUUUCAAAAUUCAAAAUAAAAUUUUACAUCAAAGUCAUUCAUCAUAAUCAAUAUUAUCGUCAUAUUCACACAAAUCAUCUUCAUUGAAUUCGUCUUCUUCCUCUUGUCCUUCGACUCCUUCCUCUUCAUCAAGAUAUGUUUCAUUCUCUAUGUCUUCAAUAAUAGCAGGAGCCGAGCUUGAUGCUUUUGCACUCAUUUUUUUCUUUGACAUCUGUCUUGUAUAUGUUUGUAAUUCUCCAGCACCUAAAGCUCUUACAACAUCUCCUCAUGUCAAUCUAUUAUCUUCAAAUACAAGCUCGUCUUCAGCAUCUUAUAAGUUAGCACUCAUUUCUCCUACUAACCACUCAUUUGAAUCAUCAAUAUCUUGUAAUGAGAUUGAAUCAAAUCUAUUUUGCAAAUUAUAAUGAGCCUUCAAAGCUUGAUUAUACUUUAUGUAAACAAGAUCGUGCAAUCAUUGAUGUUCCAAUCGAUUUCUUUUCUUCGAGUGAAUCUGUCAUGUCAUAUAAUUUAAAAAUAUAUUAAUACAUCUAUCUAAAUAAAUAAAUAAAUUAAAACAAAAAUAUUUAGUGAUCCUUACAUGCUCAAAGACACUCCAGUUUCGCUCAUAACCCGAAGCACUACAUGUCAAACUAAGUACUUUGAUAGCAAAUUGCUGUAAGUUCGGGGUGAAAUUUCCAGAUAGACUCCACCAUUCAGUUGCAAAAUAUAUGUUAUUAUUAGCAACAACAUAGUAACAUAAUAUAUAUGAAAUUAAUUAUAUCAAAUUAUUAAUACCUAGAGACGUAGUUGUCUUGGAUCGAACGGUAAUUGGAAUUCCAAAAAGGUCUUCGGUAUUUUUAUAUAAAGAUAAUUCAUGAAUAAUCUUAUCUUGAACCUCAAGGCUGGGAACUAAUCUUGCAACGCACUGAUAUAACCCACCCAAAACUUCUGCAUCAAAUCCAACAGAUUUAAUCUUAUAAAAGAAUUCAUGGUUCAAAUAAUAUCCUGUUGCAUGUAAGGGACGAUGAAGUUGACAAUUUUAUCUUUCGUCAAUGAUUGUAAAAAUUUUCUCAUAUUUUUCUUCAUUUUCAUUAAAAGAUCUUUUAAUCGUCUCCUUUGUUCUAUCCAUAGCCUCAUAAAUAUAUCUCAUUGCAUGUUUAUUUUCAUUAUUCACCAACUGAAGGACUCGAACAAGAGGGCCCAUUGCCUUUAAUAUAUAAACUACAUGAUUCCAAAAGGAUGACAUUAAGAUGAUAUCAGCAGCCCUCUUGCCUUUUGCUUCUUUUGCCCAUUUGCUUGUCACCCAUUUCUCAGAGGUAAACAUGUUUCUCAGAGUAUGUUUUUGACGAUGCACGCUCUGUAAUGUUAAGAAUGAAGUAGCAAAUCGGGUGGCACCAUGUCUCACUAAUUCUUUAUUCCUUAUAAAUUCUCUCAUCAUAUUCAAAGCUCCAAUGUGAUUAUAAAGAAAUCCAACAACAAAAAUUGUCCUUUCUAAGGUUUUCUUGAUUUCUAAGAUCUUUUCAAUAUCCUCCAACAUUAAAUCAAUACAAUGUGCUGCACAUGGAGCCCAAUACAAGUGUUGUUUUUUUUAUUCAAGCAAUUUACCUGAGACAAAUGAUAACAAAAAUAAUAAGACUUAAGAGUUUAAUAUACUUAAUUGAAGAUAAAAUAAUUAGCAAAUUCAAAAGAUGAAUAUUACCAACUAAAACAUAGUUGCUUCCAUUGUCGGUUAUGAUUUGAACGACAUUUUGUUCUCCAAUUUCUUCCAUGAAGUUGUCAAGUAAAUCAUAUAUCUUGUCUCCAGAUUUUACAAAAGAUGAAGCAUCUAUUGACUUCACAAACAUAGUCCCUAAAGAACAAUUAACCAUAAAAUUAAUUAUACUCCUGCGCCUCGUGUCAGUCCAAACAUCUAUCAUAAUAGAGCAAUCAUGUGUUGCCCAUGAUUCUUUAUGACCCUUUAGUAAGUCAUUUGUAUAAUUCAACUCUUUUUGCAGCAAUAGAACUCGCAUCUCAUAAUAACUUGGAGGUUUUAAUCCUGCACCAUAUCUUCCAAUAGCUUCAAUCAUAUCCUUAAAACUGUCUAAACGAGUUGUACUAAGGGGAAGAUCAGCCUGAUAGAAGAAGCGAGCAAUGUGCUGAAUUGUUCUUCCUCUUAUUUCUUUAUCACAAGCAUCACUUAUAUUUGUUUGUCUAAAUUUUGAGCCUUCUGCUUGCCCUUAUUGUUUUUGGGAUCCUUGAAACAUAUAUAGAUCCAUUGGUCUUUUUUUAUCCUUCUUAGUACUCAUAACUUCUUUUCCUUUUUUGUCGUAUAUUUUUUUUCCACUUGGGUUAAUACUCAUAGAAUAAUCUUCUUCUUCAUCCUUGAGAUGUUCAACAUUGUUUUCUGGUAAAUUCCCGUAAGAUUCAUUCUUUUGUGUCUUCUUUUCAUUCAUAUAAUUCAGUAACUCUUCUUUUACCUCAGGUGGACAUUUUUUGCAAGCUGCUGCAUUCUUGAAAUUUCUUACUAGAUGUUGUUUUGCACGAAAAAUACCACCUCUAGUAGUCUUAUCGCAGAAUAUGCAAGUCACUGCAUUAGGAUCUUUCGGAUUCUUCAAAUAAUUAUACUUCCAUGUAGAAUCUUUUUUUGAUGCCAUUGGAGACUCUAUUGAGUUGCUCUGUACACUUGUUAUUUAUGUUGAAACCUAGCAAUAAUUUCGAAUAAAUAAAAAUUAACAGUAUUAAAAUCAAAAUAAUAUAUUAUUAAUCUAUUAACAGUAUUGAAAGUUAAUCAUUUCAAAUAAACUUAAUAAUAUUAACAGUAUACAGUAUACGUAUACUAUUAAAGGAAGUGUAAAGGGGUGCUGAGCCUGCUGACUGAGAAAAGAGGAUGCGACAGCGGCGAGCAAUGGGAGGCGCGAGCGGCGACAGCGACAGCGUUUGCGAGUAGCGACGACAGCAAGAGCAGGAGCAGGAGCGGCGAGCAGCGGGAGGCACGAGCGGUGACAGCGGUGAGCAGCGGGAUUGGGAUCAGGAUCGGGAUCGGUAGCGACGAGGGUUAGGGUUCGGUUGUCACUUAUAUCCGUUUUAGUUGGUUCGAUUGAACCAACUAACCAUUAUAGACCGAACUAGGACCGAACUAGACCUAAAAUCCUGGUUCGAUCGCCGUGGUUAACCCAGGCGCUCGCCCGAAGCGCCCAGCGCCUGGGCUCGGGCGAGCGCCCAAGCGACGCCUGUUUGAAGCGCGCCGCCUGGGAGAUUAGCGAGGCGCUCGGGCCUCGCCUCGCCUCGCCCGAGCGCCUUUUUAAAUCGCUGCUGUCUACAAUCAAAUUAUCUCUUUCUAUCUAGUAGUUAGUAGCUUGACAUUGUUUUUGUUUUUAUCUAUAAGAAUUCGAUUUCUGGGGAGCAUCUUGGAGGACAAUACUUCAUUGACGAAAAAUAUAAAAAAUCAUAACUUCAGUUCAUAAGAUAUUUUAAGUAACAAGCAUGUUUCUAAUGGUGCUUGCUUGAAGGGGUUUUGAGGUAAGGUUUGACAUCUACCAUGCAACUACUAAAGGUACUGUCAUGAUUGUUGCUGCAAAUAAAGAAAUUUUAGUGCUAUGAAGUGGAUAGAUAGAUAGAUGGAUAGAUAAAUAGAUAGAUUGAGAUGAACCAUAUUUUGGGGAGACAAUAUGAAACAUAAGAAAUAAAAUACUUGAUAAGUGAUAGGGGAAAUAUUUACCCCAAUCAUGACUUGACACGUGGCAACAUAGUUAGCAAGGAGAAAAUGGACCUGGGCCAACAACUAGGUCAUAUGGGCUUUAGUCCAAUAUAAAAUACCGAUGGAAUAUUUUGCCCAUGCUGUAGAAUAUCCAUAUGAACGGUUAAGACAAUUAUAAAAAGUCUACCAGGUCACAAUAAGGAAUGUUAGUUAACGUUUAUUCGAAACUCUCGUUUUCUAUUCCAGCACUAACUAGAGCAUCAAAGGGACUACGUUCGAAAUCCCACUUGGCGUCAGUCUUCAUACAGGUCGGUCAUCAGGUAGACGCCCAAGCCCCUCUAAGCCAUAGAUCAAGUGUUUGUGACUCCCUUACGACCACGUCAAAUUGAGCUGGACAUCACCAAUAUCCAACAUAUCAACGUCCAUACAUGAAAUAGUUUCUCCAACUAAUUCUAAAAGAGCUUUUAAUUCAUAAAAAAAGAUAAUAUUAAAUGGUAUUCAUUUUUUUUUUUGCAUCAUUUGGGAAUGUGGUUAAAAAUAUGAAAUAACACGAAUACAAGAUGAAACAAAUAAAAUGCAUUGCCCCAUGGAAUAUUUGUUACCUCAAGAGUGGAAAAUGUAACAAAAAUGAGCCCAUGAUAAAAAUUGAAUCAGAAUUAUAUGAUGCAAAACAUAGACAAAAAAGGUAAAUCAAAGCAUUAAAGAAAACAAAUAGACAUUACAUAAAUGUAGCUUCCUUGAAUAACUUGCUAGAACAUAUAAGGUGCUAGCCAAUAGAUCACAUUAGACGAGUUUGGGAACCAACCGCUAAACACAUUUUCGGUUGUACCAUACUCCAAGUGAACCAUGCUAAAAUAGUAUACCUUGCUCCUACGAUGAUAUGGGGAUGGAUGUAGUCGAGGAAUAUGGAUGUAAUUUCUACUUUCUACUAUAAUCCUCAUGUUGGCUAUGGAUGAUACAUGAGCUGUAGCACAACGAUAUGAACGGUGUGUUGUCGCCUAGGCUUGCUACUCUAGUCCAAUAAGGCGGCUAGUUUUGGGUGUAUCUAAACAGUAGGUAUGACCUCGUAACCUGAUUUUUGUUUGACACGAACAACUGUAGAUGAGUAGCUCUCCUUGCCAUUUCAACUAGCGAAAGAUGCAAAAGUUGCAAUGUACUUGCAGAGUCACAAUGAACCAGACACGAACAGGUGGGCUGACAUCGAGUAUUGCCACCCUCAUGAAAUCAGUUAGGUAGAACUUUUUGCUGCAAUACACGAUAAUCUGGAUGACAACGCCCAGGUCAAUUUCCAUGAUGGUCCAAGUCACGUCCCUUAGUCAGUAGAAAGCAACGUAGGUGGAGAAAGGUAGCGUGGCGAGGAUGAUGUCUCCAGUCCAAACGUAACCGAAGAAUGGAAAAGAUUUUUCCAACUUCAUCGUCCUUGCCAACCUAAUUCUUUAAGAGGACAAUCCAUAAAUAACUGAAGAAUGGAAAAGAUUUUUAAGGAGUCUCGGGUCUAAGAAGCAUGAUAAAUACCAUCAAAGCUUAGGAUGUAGAGGAAAUUAAAUAAAUUAAUCUAAUAUAGACUAUGAAAAUGUGUUUAUAACAUCUGUCAAGAUAUUUCAAUUGGGGACUAAGCUUCUAUUUUGUCAACUUUCAUAAUUUUUAAUAAUACUUGAACUAAGUCAUAUUAUCAUUUUUCAUCAAAAGUAUUGAUGAAAGUUGAUCUUAUUUUGUUAUACGUCUUCCAAAUCUAAUAUAAAUGUUACUUUUUCAUAUGGAUAGUAUCUCACAUGGGCCUAAAGUAUGAAUCUCAAUCAGCAAAAUCCCAUGAAAUUAUACUACCUCGACUUCAUUGCCAAUUAUAACAAGAAAUAUUGUCUUGGGUCCAUACAUAACCGAAGUAUGGAAAAGAUUUAUCUAUACAUAACCGAAGAAUGAAAAAGAUUUUUCUAGCUGCAUUGUCCUCGCCAACUUGCCUUUCUUCACCUGGGUUGCUUUUUGCUGAAUAGGGGACGUGAUCUGGAUCAUUGUGGAAAUUGGCUUGGGCGAUGUCGUCUAAACCGUCGUGUAUAGUAGCAGUAGGUUCUACUUGACUGAUUUCAUGAGUAUAGAAUCAGGUUAAGGAGUCAUACUGACUUUUUAGAUACACCCAGAAUUGGUCGUCUUAUUGGACCAGAGUCGUAAGCCUAGGCGAUAGCAUACUGUUCAUGUUGUAGUACUACAACUCUUGUAUCAUCCGCAACCAACAUGAGAGUUGCAAUAGAAAUUGCAUCUAUAUUUCUGGACUAGAUCCUUCUUCAUAUCGUUCUGAUAGCAAGGCUCACUAUUUCAACGUGGUUCACUUCAAGUAUGGUACAAUUGAAAAUGUGGUUUGCUGUUGGUUCCUGAACUCAUCUAAUGUGAUCUCUUAGCUAGCACCUAAUCUGUUUUAACAAUUUAUUCAAGAAAGCUGUAUUUAUAUAAUGUAUAUAUAUUUUAAUGCUUCAAUUUAUCUUUUUUGUCUAUAUUUUGCAGCUUAUGAUUCUGAUUCAUUUAUUUAUCGACUCUUUUCUGUUAUAUUUUUCACUAAUCAGGUAAUAUUCCAUAGGGCAAUGCAUUUUAUUUGUUGCUUUUUGUAUUCAUGUUGUUUCACAUUUUGAAUCACAUUCCUAGAUGAAGCAAAAGCUCUUUUAGAAUUGGUUGGACAUAAACUAUUUUAUGUAUGAAAGUUGAAUGUUGUCUUAAGGCCUAACAACAAAAGCUACUUGAACCUUAAUUGAAAAUUCCAAGUUGGAAAUAAAUAUCCAUGCCAAAUAUCCAUGUCAAAACCUUGAAAUUCUUUAGAUUUUUUUGAAGAAUGAGCUCAACUGAAAAAAAAAGAGGUAAUAAGUGGCUUUUGUCGUUUUCACUUGAAUACCUGAUAAAUUUUGUCAUGCCCACAUCAUAAAUUAUAAGAGUUAAAUCCAAGAUCUCUAGGUUCUAGAUGUGCUGACUGUUGUCGGGCACAAAAGCAUGGUACAACAUGGGAGGUGUGCCAAUGUAAGAAGCAUUAGCAAGGAGGCGUACAAACGUGACAUAGUAUAGACAAGACAACUUGAUAUAUUCAAGAAAAGUAACACAAGACUCGACAUGGACACGACAAUAAGUAUCUUCUAUAUGCUGCUAUAAUUUUUUAUGUGAAGAUGUAUUCUUUACCGGUUAGAAAAGUGAAUUGUUAUAAAUUUAGCAUAUAAAAAGCCCACAUAAAUAAAACAUAUUUAUAAAUAUACUUCAAAUGCAUGUAUAAAACAGUAAUGAGACAUACCUAUAAUAGCAAAACACAUAAAUAUUGCUAGUAUUUGACAUGUCUAAAAUUAUUUAGAUACACUUGUUCUAGUAUAGUUUCAAACUUGGCACAUAAUAGGAAGUAUAUGACAAGUAUUGGUUUCCGACAUAACUAAAACAUGUAUUGAGGUGUUUAUGCCUUAUAGGUGUCAGUAGAGGCUUAGACAGGAUUAUGGUUUGUUCCACCACCAAAGAGAUUGGACAUUGAUAGAAUCUAUCUUCUAAAAAGAAGGAAAAUAAUAUUUGCAUUCCUUGCACUUUUUGUUGCCCAUAUCUUCUCCUUUCUAAGUGAAAAGUAAUGGUGACCUGCCUAAGACAGGAGCGUUAUAACAUGUUGACAUAAAGACUGGAGAUCUAAGAGUUCUGUCAGCGGAGGGUAUAACUUUCCUGGACCGGAAGAUGAAUACUCCCGUCCUCUAGCCAAUUGAUCCUGUUGAGAAUAGUACUGGGGGGGACACAUUAGAGUGAAGGAUCUGAGGUAUCCUCUAUCACCACGAUGAGGUUGAUCCCUCCUUUAGUAGACUCUGCUAUGAAUGAAGAAAUGAAUGUCUCAUUCUGUAGGGCACUGCUAACCCCGAAGAAGGAUCACAUUUUAGGAAGUAUCUGACAAGUAUUGUUGUCAGACAUAACUAAAACAAGAAUUGAAGCAUAUUUAUGCUUUAUAGGUGCCAAUAGAGGGCUAGGCUGGAACAACUCUUAUAACUUAUGCCAAGUGUCAAGUACAACAUUAGCAUAUUAGGGGGAUGUGCUUUGCUUUGAUAUAGAAAAUCUGAGUAAGAUACAUCAUAUUCUUUACAUUUAGUAUCAUUAGCUUUUAAGCAUGCAAGGCUCCAAGUUAUUGUAUCAUUUAGCUUUUGACAUUGAUUGAUUCUAAUGGGUGGUUCAUAUGAUUUUUUCCUUCAUGGAUCAUGGCAUUUUUUAGCUGAUCCCUAAUAGUUGGGAUAUUAGGAGUUGUAUGGAACAUGUCGCUUUCUAGCAUAUGAGGAACUUUAGACUUAAUUGCACAUUUUCCUCUAGUAUAUGAAACAUAUGCAAUAUGACAUUUAAACCAAACUUUGUAAUAGUUUCUAACUUCUUUGAAUAAAGUGAGAAGCAGGAGCAGUCUGUUGUGGGGUUUCAGAGCAUGCUGAUUUCUGAUGCUAAAUUAUUCAUUGUAAAUGGACUUGCAGUAAAAUUAUUCAUAAUUUUUUAUUCAUAGUAAAAGAUUUGUAAAUCAUAUUUUAAUUUUACUUGUUUUUAACUAUUCUGAAUUGCAGUAAUUAUUUUUACAAUCUACAGUUUCAUUGUAAGCAAAACCUUCAGCAGGGAAAACUAGAAACAAGUAAAUAGAAUCAUUGCAGAUCCCUUGGUAUC